AAUGAACGCUGGCGGCAUGCCUUACACAUGCAAGUCGAACGGCAGCAUGACCUAGCUUGCUAGGUUGAUGGCGAGUGGCGAACGGGUGAGUAAUGCAUCGGAACGUGCCUUUUAGUGGGGGAUAACGUAGCGAAAGUUACGCUAAUACCGCAUAUUCUCUGAGGAGGAAAGCAGGGGACCUUCGGGCCUUGCGCUAGAAGAGCGGCCGAUGUCGGAUUAGCUAGUUGGUGAGGUAAAGGCUCACCGAGGCAACGAUCCGUAGCGGGUCUGAGAGGAUGAUCCGCCACACUGGGACUGAGACAAGGCCCAGACUCCUACGGGAGGCAGCAGUGGGGAAUUUUGGACAAUGGGCGCAAGCCUGAUCCAGCCAUGCCGCGUGAGUGAAGAAGGCCUUCGGGUUGUAAAGCUCUUUCGGCUGGGAAGAAAUCGCACCCUCUAAUACAGGGUGUGGAUGACGGUACCAGCAUAAGAAGCACCGGCUAACUACGUG
rnacentral:rRNA from 1 species